GUCGUGCUGGAUCUGGUUGCAGAUGAUAGUGGUGGCAUGCAGAAACAAAAAUCUAGAUUCCACUGGGAUAAGAGGAGUAAGAAGUACAUCAAGUUAAACAAUGGGGACCGUGUGAUAGCUAGUGGAAAGAUAAAGACAGAGGGUGGUGCAAAAGUAACAGCUAACAAAACUGGCAUAUACAAGAGGUGAAAAGAGCGGUCACAUAAUAAAAUAUCCCUUCAAGGAUCCAGUUAUGAGGGCAAUGCUGAAGAAUCCAAAAGUUUUUCAGGUGAGUGCUUUAAAAUCAGAAACUAUUUGUAUUCAUUCGGGCUCUUGUUCUUUUGAAUUUUGCUGUUCUGUAAUUCUGGAGUUAACACAACUGAGAGAAGUUGUAGGUUUUUGUAUGUAAAUUGCUGACAGACUGUUUAUAGAUUCUUCUGGGGGUGAGCAACUAUAGGAAACAUUUGGCCUUUUUUUUUUAACUAAAUGAAAUAUGUGUUUUGACUUGAAACUUUUGACUUAUUUUGUGAAGAUACACCUAUUUUUGCAGAAAUCUUGCAAUUACUCUUGACUGAAUUGUUGCAUUUGGUGUAAUAGAUUGAUCACUUGUUUCGAACAAUGUGAAUAAGAGCUAAGGGAAUUUUAUGGUUGACACAUUGUGCAGAAAAGCUGUUAAUCUGAUCUGAGAAGUUUUUGUUGGAUCAAUUGUUAAGAUCCUUUUGCUUUAUAGGAAAGACUACUUUACACAUUAAGAAAAAUAUGCAUAUUUUAUUUUUUGAUUAUGAUUUAUUAUGAUUGGCAUGCAAAAGUUCGAUUGUUGAUUUUUAACUUGUGAGAGAGAAUUAGAUUUGGUUGUUGUUUUUCAAAGAUCAGAACCCAACAUGCAUGAAAAAUCUUAUUAUCUGGUUGUCCUCAUAUGGAGGUUUUUGAAUUGAGUUGAGUGUACUGUAGGAGUCACAUGCUCGUAGGCUUGGAAGCAUUAUUUUCAGAGUGAGUUUGAAGGAAUGAUGGGGUUUUUUUUUGUUUUUUUGGUAAGAAGAGUGGUUAAAUGAUUAAUUGUUAGUAAUUGCUUUUUUGUGCCUAGCACAGGGUUCGACAUCAAGGUUAUUACUUGUACCACCAUUGCUCACUGUUUAUUCAAGUUUCCAAACUGGUUUUACUUGCUUUCAUGUAGCAUGCAUUUGAGACCUCCUUGAUUUUGUAGGUGAUUAUUUAUUUGUUUAUAUAGAAGUUAGAGAUUUUAUAGAAGUUUCAUUAAAUCGACUAUUUGUUUAGUGUUGGUAACUUAAUUCUCAUUUGUUCCUCUCUUUUGUGUCUAUAUACACACAUAUGUAUGAAUAUUAACAUUUUUGAGUUCUAUGUUGAUGUGUAAUAAUAAUGCAAUCUUUGAAGUGUUGAUGAUUAUGAUGGGUUCUCACUGGAGGACUUUGUUAAAAUAUGUUUACUGUAUGUGUUCCAUUUUCAAAGA